GUGCAUUAGUUGUGUCUCUCCUGGAAAAGGAAUGAGCCUUGGGAGACUUAAGGAGUUGGACAGCCCAGUCCUUACCUCUCAGAAAUACUUGUAAAGAGACACAACUCACAGGAAGUUACUCAGAAUACUUAAAUAUCUUGGGAAGUGAGAUAAUCAUUCUAGAAUCGAUGAGAUUCUGUGAAUUCAUGUUAUUUCUGGUUUGUAGAUGGGCAAUAAACUCCAGCAGCUGGAUGGGUAGUGGUUGGCAUUAUUACGUGCAGCAGCAUACAGCUGGCUGGUAGCGCUCCAUCUUGGUUACCCUCUGGAAGUGGUGGCAUGGUUGACCCUUCAUAUCUUCAGCAGUUGUGAAGCACAGAUGUGUGUUAGCUCAUUGACGUUCUUUCCUAAUGUGUGUGAAAACAAGGUGGAUUUGGCAUAGCUGUGAGAUAGAAUGCCUCUUCUGGUGAAAUGGUUUCGAUACAAAGGAACGGUCAAAAUCAGGAAGUGCUUAUGUGAGAAUUCCUGUUUAUUUUGGGUUAAUGUAUUUCUGUAAAGGCUUUUGAGGGUGAUGAUUUAAAAGUUCGUAGAAACACACAAAUUCUGAUCUGCAGCAGCUACUUGUAUUUGGAAGCUGAAGGAGAACACUGUCUUUUGACCUACCUCUAGGGCCUUGUCAGUUUGCCCCCUUUUCUGCAGUAUGUCAUGAAAUACUAAAGAUCAUUGAAACUCCAGAUCUACAGGAGCCAAACAUUGUGACCAUCUACUAAAAGCAACUUCAUGCCAUGGCUGUUGAAGACGGUACCUUAAAUCAAACCUGCAACAUCAAGAUCUGAAAGGUGCUUCUGGCCACAUUGAGAAGCAGUGGUCUCCAGCAGGCUCUGAUCAUGUUUUUCUGGUGUUUCCUUGAAGGCAAGACAAUACAAGGUGAUACAAACACCUGGAAUACUGUCAUCUUCUCUGGGAAUACCCAAAGAAGAUUCUUAGAACUAUUAAACUUAAUUUCUAACCUGGCCAUCUUCUGUCAAAUACCCUUUUCUGUUCACAUACAAGGUCUUCCUAGGUCUGAUGUUAGACAAAGUAAGUGUUUGAAGAAAUUUUUCAGAGAAGCUUAAGCAUGUCUCAUUCCCUUUCAUGCCUUUAGGAAUUUUUCAUAAGGAGUUCACUAUAAUUCACUGUUACUAUUUUUUAAAUUCAGGUUAGAGAUCCGCAAGUUAAUGCCAA